rnacentral:miRNA from 1 species
AUCAUUCUCUAGAUCUGGACUG